UUUAAGAUAAUUUAACUAGAAUAGCAGUUUUGGGUGUUGCCAGCGCAAAAAUUUUGCUCUUAGUU
rnacentral:tRNA from 1 species